CAGCAGCCGCGGGAAUACGAAGGGGGCUAGCGUUGCUCGGAAUCACUGGGCGUAAAGGGUGCGUAGGCGGGUCUUUAAGUCAGGGGUGAAAUCCUGGAGCUCAACUCCAGAACUGCCUUUGAUACUGAAGAUCUUGAGUUCGGGAGAGGUGAGUGGAACUGCGAGUGUAGGGGUGAAAUUCGUAGAUAUUCGCAAGAACACCAGUGGCGAAGGCGGCUCACUGGCCCGAUACUGACGCUGAGGCACGAAAGCGUGGGGAGCAAACAGGAUUAGAUACCCGCGUAGUCCCUGUCUCUUAUAC
rnacentral:rRNA from 1 species